CACGUAGGGACCAAGCGUUGUCCGGAUUCAUUGGGCGUAAAGAGCUCGUAGGCGGUUCGAUAAGUCGGGUGUGAAACCUCCAGGCUCAACCUGGAGACGCCACCCGAUACUGUCGUGACUAGUGUCCAGUAGGGGAGCGUGGAAUUCCUGGUGUAGCGGUGAAAUGCGCAGAUAUCAGGAGGAACACCAAUGGCGAAGGCAGCACUCUGGGACGGUACUGACGCUGAGACGCGAAAGCGUGGGGAGCAAACAGG
rnacentral:rRNA from 1 species